rnacentral:rRNA from 1 species
UACGGGGGGAGCAAGCGUUGUUCGGAUUUACUGGGCGUAAAGGGCGCGUAGGCGGCCAGUGCAAGUCAGUUGUGAAAUCUCCGAGCUUAACUCGGAAAGGUCAACUGAUACUGCUCGGCUAGAGUGCGGAAGGGGCAACUGGAAUUCUUGGUGUAGCGGUGAAAUGCGUAGAUAUCAAGAGGAACACCUGCGGCGAAGGCGGGUUGCUGGGCCGACACUGACGCUGAAGCGCGAAAGCUAGGGGAGCAAACGGG